rnacentral:rRNA from 1 species
AUUGAACGCUGGCGGCAUGCCUUACACAUGCAAGUCGAACGGUAACAGGUCUUCGGAUGCUGACGAGUGGCGAACGGGUGAGUAAUACAUCGGAACGUGCCCGAUCGUGGGGGAUAACGGAGCGAAAGCUUUGCUAAUACCGCAUACGAUCUACGGAUGAAAGCAGGGGACCGCAAGGCCUUGCGCGGACGGAGCGGCCGAUGGCAGAUUAGGUAGUUGGUGGGAUAAAAGCUUACCAAGCCGACGAUCUGUAGCUGGUCUGAGAGGACGACCAGCCACACUGGGACUGAGACACGGCCCAGACUCCUACGGGAGGCAGCAGUGGGGAAUUUUGGACAAUGGGCGCAAGCCUGAUCCAGCCAUGCCGCGUGCGGGAAGAAGGCCUUCGGGUUGUAAACCGCUUUUGUCAGGGAAGAAAUCCUUUGAGUUAAUACCUCGGGGGGAUGACGGUACCUGAAGAAUAAGCACCGGCUAACUACGUG